GGUGUUUGCUUAUGGUACUUUUAUACUUUUAGUUAAGUAAAAUUUUAAAUAUAUGAAAUUUUACUUCUAACAGUAUGUAAAGCCUGGUGUUUCUACUGUCACUGAUAAAUGUGUUUCUUGCUUUAUUUUAAACACUGUAGCCUGUAACACAGGCCUCUGUGUCAGAGCUGAGAAGUGGAGAAUAUUGUGGUGACUUUGCAGCCUCUCGGCUCAGGCUUAAUUAAUGGGCCAUCAGCGGAGGGACACGCCCCCCUGCACCUGGAACUUGCCCCCCUCCCCCAACCUUUCAGCAGCGCAGCAGAGAGGAGCAGAAGAAAACAGAGAGUGGCCGGAGUUUGGAGAGAUUUGUUAGCAGGAGUUUGGAGAGAUUUGUUUGAAAAAUUUAAAGACGAAGACUUCAUCUUAACCGACGCAAGAGGCAAUUUCAGAGCAGGUCCAGGAAGAGAUCGCUAUGAGUCAAACACAGAUGGAGGUUCUGACCCCUGCGCUGAGUUAGAGAUAAGGAGAACUCACUGAUGAUGAGACCCCCAGGCUUCCACAGAAGAACAAAGUCAAACAUGAGAGAGCAAGAGAGCAUGGAGUGAGGUAGAGAGAACUGCGAUGUAGAGUGCCUGGA